CCCGCUGAACUUAAGCAUAUCAAUAAGCGGAGGAAAAGAAACUAACAAGGAUUCCCCUAGUAACUGCGAGUGAAGCGGGAAAGGCUCAAAUUUAAAAUCUGUCAGUCUUUGGCUGUCCGAGUUGUAAUCUAGAGAAGUGUUAUCCGCGCUGGACCGUGUACAAGUCUCCUGGAAUGGAGCGUCAUAGAGGGUGAGAAUCCCGUCUUUGACACGGACUGCCAGGGCUUUUGUGAUGCGCUCUCAAAGAGUCGAGUUGUUUGGGAAUGCAGCUCAAAAUGGGUGGUAAAUUCCAUCUAAAGCUAAAUAUUGGCGAGAGACCGAUAGCGAACAAGUACCGUGAGGGAAAGAUGAAAAGAACUUUGGAAAGAGAGUUAAACAGUACGUGAAAUUGCUGAAAGGGAAACGCUUGAAGUCAGUCGCGUCAUCCAGGGAUCAACCUUGCUUUUGCUUGGUGUACUUUCUGGUUGACGGGUCAGCAUCAAUUUUGACCAUUGGAAAAAGAUUAAGGGAAUGUGGCAUACAUAGUGAUGUGUUAUAGCCCGUGGUUGCAUACAAUGGUUGGGAUUGAGGAACUCAGCACGCCGCAAGGCCGGGUUUUUAUUAACCACGUACGUGCUUAGGAUGUUGGCAUAAUGGCUUUAAUCGACCCGUCUUGAAACACGG
rnacentral:rRNA from 1 species